GGCUCUGUAGUUCAACGGCUAGAACGAGGGACUCAUAAACCCUAGAAGGUGGUUCGACUCCACCCAGAGCCA
rfam:Candidatus Sungbacteria bacterium RIFCSPHIGHO2_01_FTLL_50_25 rifcsphigho2_01_scaffold_34352, whole genome shotgun sequence.